rnacentral:tRNA from 1 species
GGCAAUGUAAUUUAGUGGUAGAGUGCUUGCUUAGUAUGCAUGAUGCCCUGGGCUCAAUGCCCAGCACCA